GACGUAGGGCGCAAGCGUUGUCCGGAUUUAUUGGGCGUAAAGAGCUCGUAGGCGGUUUGUCACGUCGGAUGUGAAAACCCGAGGCUUAACCUCGGGCCUGCAUUCGAUACGGGCUGACUAGAGUUCGGUAGGGGAGACUGGAAUUCCUGGUGUAGCGGUGAAAUGCGCAGAUAUCAGGAAGAACACCCGUGGCGAAGGCGGCUCUCUGGGACGGUACUGACGCUGAGACGCGAAAGCGUGGGGAGCAAACAGG
rnacentral:rRNA from 1 species